UGCGGAGGGGGCUAGCGUUGUUCGGAAUUACUGGGCGUAAAGGGCGCGCAGGCGGCUGCUCAAGUCAGGCGUGAAAGGCCUGGGCUCAACCCGGGAAUUGCGCUUGAGACUGGGCUGGCUUGAGUGCGGGAGAGGAUGGUGGAAUUCCCAGUGUAGAGGUGAAAUUCGUAGAUAUUGGGAAGAACACCGGUGGCGAAGGCGGCCAUCUGGACCGCAACUGACGCUGAGGCGCGAAAGCGUGGGGAGCAAACAGG
rnacentral:rRNA from 1 species